CCAACUGAUUGAACGUGCUUGCACGGACUUGACGUUGGUUUACCAGCGAGUGGCGGACGGGUGAGUAACACGUAGGUAACCUGCCCCAAAGCGGGGGAUAACAUUUGGAAACAGAUGCUAAUACCGCAUAACAAUUUGAAUCGCAUGAUUCAAAUUUAAAAGAUGGCUUCGGCUAUCACUUUGGGAUGGACCUGCGGCGCAUUAGCUUGUUGGUAGGGUAACGGCCUACCAAGGCUGUGAUGCGUAGCCGAGUUGAGAGACUGAUCGGCCACAAUGGAACUGAGACACGGUCCAUACUCCUACGGGAGGCAGCAGUAGGGAAUCUUCCACAAUGGGCGCAAGCCUGAUGGAGCAACACCGCGUGAGUGAAGAAGGGUUUCGGCUCGUAAAGCUCUGUUGUUAGAGAAGAACGUGCGUGAGAGCAACUGUUCACGCAGUGACGGUAUCUAACCAGAAAGUCACGGCUAACUACGUGCCAGCAGCCGCGGUAAUACGUAGGUGGCAAGCGUUAUCCGGAUUUAUUGGGCGUAAAGCGAGCGCAGGCGGUUUGAUAAGUCUGAUGUGAAAGCCUUUGGCUUAACCAAAGAAGUGCAUCGGAAACUGUCAGACUUGAGUGCAGAAGAGGACAGUGGACUCCAUGUGUAGCGGUGGAAUGCGUAGAUAUAUGGAAGACACCAGUGGCGAAGGCGGCUG
rnacentral:rRNA from 1 species